UGAGUCCCGGUGUCUGAGCAUUUCCU
rnacentral:piRNA from 1 species